AUGAACGCUAGCGGGAGGCCUAACACAUGCAAGCCGAGCGGUAUUGUUUCUUCGGACAUGAGAGAGCGGCGUACGGGUGCGUAACACGUGUGCAACCUGCCUUUAUCUGGGGGAUAGCCUUUCGAAAGGAAGAUUAAUACUCCAUAAUAUAUUGAACGGCGUCGUUUAAUAUUGAAAGCUCCGGCGGAUAGAGAUGGGCACGCGCAAGAUUAGCUAGUUGGUGAGGUAACGGCUCACCAAGGCGAUGAUCUUUAGGGGGCCUGAGAGGGUGAUCCCCCACACUGGUACUGAGACACGGACCAGACUCCUACGGGAGGCAGCAGUGAGGAAUAUUGGUCAAUGGGUGCAAGCCUGAACCAGCCAUCCCGUGUGAAGGACGACUGCCCUAUGGGUUGUAAACUUCUUUUGUAUAGGGAUAAACCUACCCUCGAGAGGGUAGCUGAAGGUACUAUACGAAUAAGCACCGGCUAACUCCGUG
rnacentral:rRNA from 1 species